GAUGAACGCUGGCGGCGUGCCUAAUACAUGCAAGUCGAGCGAACAGACGAGGAGCUUGCUCCUCUGACGUUAGCGGCGGACGGGUGAGUAACACGUGGAUAACCUACCUAUAAGACUGGGAUAACUUCGGGAAACCGGAGCUAAUACCGGAUAAUAUAUUGAACCGCAUGGUUCAAUAGUGAAAGACGGUUUUGCUGUCACUUAUAGAUGGGUCCGCGCCGCAUUAGCUAGUUGGUAAGGUAACGGCUUACCAAGGCAACGAUGCGUAGCCGACCUGAGAGGGGGAUAGGCCACACGGGAACUGAGACACGGUCAAGACUCCUAAGGGAGGCAGCAGUAGGGAAUCUUCCGCAAUGGGCGAAAGCCUGACGGAGCAACGCCGCGUGAGUGAUGAAGGUCUUCGGAUCGUAAAACUCUGUUAUUAGGGAAGAACAAAUGUGUAAGUAACUAUGCACGUCUUGACGGUACCUAAUCAGAAAGCCACGGCUAACUACGUG
rnacentral:rRNA from 1 species